rnacentral:rRNA from 1 species
GUAGAGUUAGAUCCUGGCUCAGGAUGAACGCUGGCGGCGUGCCUAAUACAUGCAAGUCGAACGAAGGUACUUGUACCUUAGUGGCGAACGGGUGAGUAACACGUAGGUAAUCUGCCCUCAAGACGAGGAUAACUGUUGGAAACGACAGCUAAUACUGGAUAGGUAUAUAGGAGGCAUCUCUUUUAUAUUAAAGGACCACUGGUAUGCUUGGGGAUGAACCUGCGGCGCAUUAGUUAGUUGGUGAGGUAACGGCUCACCAAGACGAUGAUGCGUAGCCGGACUGAGAGGUUGAACGGCCACAUUGGGACUGAGACACGGCCCAAACUCCUACGGGGGGCAGCAGUAGGGAAUUUUCGGCAAUGGAGGAAACUCUGACCGAGCAACGCCGCGUGAAUGAAGACAUAUUUCGGUAUGUAAAGUUCUUUUAUUAGGGAAGAAUAGCCCAUGGAAAAAUGGGUGUGACGGUACCUAAUGAAUAAGCCCCGGCUAACUAUGUGCCAGCAGCC